AGCGAACGCUGGCGGCAGGCCUAACACAUGCAAGUCGAACGAAGUCUUCGGACUUAGUGGCGGACGGGUGAGUAACACGUGGGAACGUGCCUUUAGGUUCGGAAUAACUCAGGGAAACUUGUGCUAAUACCGAAUGUGCCCUUCGGGGGAAAGAUUUAUCGCCUCUAGAGCGGCCCGCGUCUGAUUAGCUAGUUGGUGAGGUAAAGGCUCACCAAGGCUACGAUCAGUAGCUGGUCUGGGAGGAUGACCAGCCACAUUGGACUGGGACACGGCCCAAACUCCUCCGGGAGGCAGCAGUGGGGAAUCUUGCGCAAUGGGCGAAAUCCUGACGCAGCCAUGCCGCGUGGAUGAUGAAGGUCUUAGGAUUGUAAAAUCCUUUCACCGGUGAAGAUAAUGACUGUAGCCGGAGAAGAAGCCCCGGCUAACUUCGUGCCAGCCGCCGCGGUAACAC
rnacentral:rRNA from 1 species